GGAGAGAUGGCUCAGUGGUUAAGAGCACUGACUGUUCUUCCAGAGGUCCUGAAUUCAAUUCCCAGAAACCACA
rnacentral:tRNA from 1 species